CGAUGGAGGGGGAUAACUACUGGAAACGGUAGCUAAUACCGCAUAACGUCGCAAGACCAAAGAGGGGGACCUUCGGGCCUCCUGCCAUCGGAUGUGCCCAGAUGGGAUUAGCUAGUAGGUGGGGUAACGGCUCACCUAGGCGACGAUCCCUAGCUGGUCUGAGAGGAUGACCAGCCACACUGGAACUGAGACACGGUCCAG
rnacentral:rRNA from 1 species